UAAUAUAAAUGUUUAUGAUCUCUUUGCAUUUAGAGUUAACAUAUCAGGUCUAUCCUACGGCAAGUUUUGUGACUUGUAAACAUGUACAGCAAGUUUUUGGGUUUGCAAACAAGUACAGCAUGUUUUGUGGCUCGCAAAUUUUUUCGAUAGAUGGCUCAGGCUUACCUUGGCGUGGUGUCUAUUGUUAAAAAAGAUUUGUUUUAAUUUAUAAAUGGAAUUCAAAACAUAAAUCAUUUACGAAAAGCUAAGACUUUUUUUAUUUUUAAAUUUCAAAAGACUUGCUGCUUUGUAUUUUUUUUUUAGGUAAAAGUGGGUAGUCCUUUCCUUUACAUGACGAAAUGGAUACUCUGAUACAUCUUGUAAUGUGGUACGGGGCGGAAGGGGGACGGCUUACGCCCUCUUCCAUGAAGGCAAUUUAUAGACCACUAGUUACACACUAAAAAAAAGGUAAUGCUUCAUUGUUUAUUAUAUUGUAACAACCACCAAGACUUUCAGUUACUUGACGACGAUCAUUAGCCUGCACAUCAAGUU